rnacentral:rRNA from 1 species
AUACGGAAGGUCCGGGCGUUAUCCGGAUUUAUUGGGAUUAAAGGGAGCGCAGGCGGCCUUUUAAGCGUGACGUGAAAUGUAGGCGCUCAACCGUGGAACUGCGUCGCGAACUGGUUUUCUUGAGUGAGUGCGACGUCGGCGGAAUUCGUGGUGUAGCGGUGAAAUGCUUAGAUAUCACGAAGAACCACGAUUGCGAAGGCAGCCGACGAGUCCUUAACUGACGCUAAAGCUCGAAAGUGCGGGUAUCGAACAGGAUUAGAUACCCUGGUAGUCCGCACGGUAAACGAUGGAUGCCCGCUGUUUGCGAUACAUUGUAAGCGGCCAAGAGAAAUCGUUAAGCAUCCCACCUGGGGAGUACGCCGGCAACGGUGAAACUCAAAGGAAUUGACGGGG